GACGAACGCUGGCGGCGUGCUUAACACAUGCAAGUCGAACGGAAAGGCCCUGCUUUUGUGGGGUGCUCGAGUGGCGAACGGGUGAGUAACACGUGAGUAACCUGCCCUUGACUUUGGGAUAACUUCAGGAAACUGGGGCUAAUACCGGGUAGGAGCUCCUGCUGCAUGGUGGGGGUUGGAAAGUUUCGGCGGUUGGGGAUGGACUCGCGGCUUAUCAGCUUGUUGGUGGGGUAGUGGCUUACCAAGGCUUUGACGGGUAGCCGGCCUGAGAGGGUGACCGGCCACAUUGGGACUGAGAUACGGCCCAGACUCCUACGGGAGGCAGCAGUGGGGAAUAUUGCACAAUGGGCGGAAGCCUGAUGCAGCAACGCCGCGUGCGGGAUGACGGCCUUCGGGUUGUAAACCGCUUUCGCCUGUGACGAAGCGUGAGUGACGGUAAUGGGGAAAGAAGCACCGGCUUACUACGU
rnacentral:rRNA from 1 species